UAAAACAAGGACAAGAUUAAGGCACUUGAUAGAUAAUAAACCUGUUUAAAGGAAUUCAGACCUAUUUUGGGAUUAAUUUAGUGAAAGAAGCUUAUAUGUCCUGAUCAGACCCCAGGAUCAGGGGUGUGUCAUACCUGAGUCAGUGACCUUGGGAAUGAGAUAGGCAAGAUGUCAGCAGAGUUGUGGUUACAGCAAGACCAAGAGAACCUGUCCCUUCUGCCCCAGGGAAGGGGGCAGAGCUCAUGCUGAGCUAAGGGUGAACUUGGUAAGGAGAUUCACAUGUGGGAUCCUGUUGUGAGCACAAGGUUCUUUUGGUAAGGAAAGUCAUCGUCAUGCAUAAUUCAAAGAGGGCUUUCCAAUGGCAAAAGCAUUUGAAGAAUUAAGAUCAGAGAAGAGAGAAAUCAGAGUGUGCAAGUCUAGGACCAGGUCUGUGUGAAGAUAAUAAAAAGGAUUUCCAAAUGAUCAUAAGCAGCCACCUGAAAUGCAGUUUAAUACAUAGAGGACAGAGAACAUCUAAGUUUAGGAAAGAGAGAAUCUCCAUCUAAACCAGUGAAUAACCUACCAUUGUACUCUGUCAUUCUUGAUGGACACAGAUCUUUGAGGUCUUACACUACAAUGCCCACCAAAAGCAGCAGGAGAAUGGAAAUAUGAAAGAGAAUCCUGCUGCUAAGGGAAAUUGAUAUUGGCACUGACACCUUCACAAAAUGCUACCAAGGGUGAAAAAUGAACCAUCAACAUCACAGCUAUGGGAAGGUGUAAGUAGUACUGGCUGCCAGGUUGAUAUGUAAAUGUGUGUAUUCCUGUAUCACAGCCACUCACAGCGAUGCAAAAUGUUUGAAAGAAAAAUUGUUAUUGCUACUGAGAAUAUCCUUCUCAGCCUCUUUAUACAAGUAAUAAAAAUGCUGCAAAAGAA